AGCGAGAAAGGGCAGCCAUACCACCAUGGCCUGGUAAGGCUCUCCCGGGCCGCAGGACACCCAUUUACACGCUCAAAAGGAGCAAGGUCCCGAGGAGUCGUUCCUCCUAAACUGUUGUCUACAGCUGUGUAAGGGGGUUUGUUAGCACAGACAAGGAGCCAGGCCCCGCAUUAUACUGAAAUACCUGUCUUAGAAAGUCAGUAGGUGUCGGUUGGUCCUGCUCUGCAGCUUCACGGCUUUUGGAAAAUCACUCCACAGUCAGUCAAUAGACAUUAAUGUCUCUCUGUCUUUCUCUCUGUCUGAAAAGUCAGGGCCUGGCAGAAAUAACGUCAACUAGGAACAAAACAAACUUGGGUUCCAAACUGGUCCCAAUCAUCCUACAAACAUCUGACCACACUCCUCACUCCUGUCGGGGUCACAUCCAAAACCAGAGAAGUCACAGUUUAGAGGGGCCUAAGGGGACCUGGUGACUUAAAAGCGAUGUGGUGUCCUGGAUGGGGUCCUGCAACCAAACAGGGACAUUAGAGAAAACUAAGGUAACCUGAAUGAAGUGUGGGACUUGGUUAAUAAUAACAGCACAUUGAUUCCUGUUCCUUAACUGUGGUGAACAGUCCACACUGACGUGAGGUGUUAGUCACAGGAGAAACGGGGAGUGGAGUGUGCGGGGACUCUCCGUAACACCUUUGCAGUAAGUCUGUAAACCUGAAGCUGCUCUAAAAUAAAGUGUUGAUUAUCACAGGGUGAUAUUAAUAACUGGUCCCAGGCACUUACUACUAGUGAGGCUUUGGGAAAAUCGUGUCCCUUCUCUGAGCCUCAGUUCCACAUUUAUAACAUGGGACAGUAGCUGCCUGGGGGGGGUGGGUGGCAUGUGCGCACUGCCUUCCUGACACAAUGCCUGGCACACAAUCGGCGCUCACCAAACUUUCCUUUUUUAAAUCCCAGCCCAGAAAGGUGCUUAUGAUUUAAUGUUAACACAUAUUAACUGGUGGAUGGUUUUAAAGUUGCCUGGUUUUCCCCAAAAUGUCCUACUACAUA